rnacentral:rRNA from 1 species
GAUGAACGCUGGCGGCGUGCCUAAUACAUGCAAGUCGAGCGAACAGACGAGGAGCUUGCUCCUCUGACGUUAGCGGCGGACGGGUGAGUAACACGUGGAUAACCUACCUAUAAGACUGGGAUAACUUCGGGAAACCGGAGCUAAUACCGGAUAAUAUAUUGAACCGCAUGGUUCAAUAGUGAAAGACGGUUUUGCUGUCACUUAUAGAUGGAUCCGCGCCGCAUUAGCUAGUUGGUAAGGUAACGGCUUACCAAGGCAACGAUGCGUAGCCGACCUGAGAGGGUUGUCCGCCACACUGGAACUGAGACACGGUCCAGACUCCUACGGGAGGCAGCCGUAGGGAAUCUUCCGCCAUGGGCGAAAGCCUGACGGAGCAACGCCGCGUGAGUGAUGAAGGUCUUCGGAUCGUAAAACUCUGUUAUUAGGGAAGAACAAAUGUGUAAGUAACUAUGCACGUCUUGACGGUACCUAAUCAGAAAGCCACGGCUAACUUCGUG